CAUUAGUGUAGUGCGCACUGGCAGGCGCUGGGGUUGGUCUGCAGUCUUCGGAGAGUUGGCGUCCUACCCCAGGUUUCUGCAAGUCUCCUCCUCACUGAGGUACAGAAGGGAGGGUGUGCGUCUUCAGAGCAGCGUUCCUUAGGAGGCGUGACAGUGGCAAAACAGAACCUAGGCACGUCCCGCCACGGAGCUUAGCUCUCGGCAGAGCGCAUGCGUUCAACCCUCCAAUCAACAUCGAGGGGCGUGGCCAGGCCGGCUUGCGGGCUUGGGAGAUAGGUGGAGCCGAAGCCCAGUUUUCCAAUGGAAUGCAGGCGGAGGCGAGCUUAGUGGUAGAAGAAGCAUGGCGUGGAGACAGCUGAGAAAGCGGGCCCUGGAUGCAGUCAUCAUCCUUGGAGGUGGAGGACUUCUCUUCACCUCUUACCUGACGGCCACAGGGGAUGACCAUUUCUAUGCUGAGUACCUGAUGCCAGGUCUGCAGAGGCUGCUUGAUCCAGAGUCAGCCCACCGGCUAGCUGUUCGAGUCACCUCCCUGGGGCUCCUUCCUCGAGCUACAUUUCAGGACUCUGACAUGCUGGAAGUGAAAGUCCUGGGCCAUAAAUUCCGAAAUCCAGUAGGAAUUGCUGCAGGAUUUGACAAGAACGGCGAAGCUGUGGACGGACUCUACAAGCUGGGCUUUGGUUUCGUUGAGGUAGGAAGUGUCACUCCCCAGCCUCAGGAAGGAAACCCCAGGCCUAGAGUAUUCCGUCUCCCCGAGGACCAAGCUGUCAUUAACAGGUAUGGAUUCAACAGCCAUGGGCUCUCGGUGGUGGAACACAGGCUACGGGCCAGACAGCAGAAGCAGGCCCAGCUCACUGCAGAUGGGCUGCCUCUUGGAAUAAACCUGGGGAAGAAUAAGACUUCGGAGGAUGCUGCUGCAGACUAUGCAGAGGGUGUUCGAACCCUGGGCCCCUUGGCUGACUACCUGGUGGUAAACGUGUCCAGCCCCAACACUGCUGGUCUGAGGAGCCUACAGGGGAAGACCGAACUGCGCCACCUGCUGUCCAAGGUGCUGCAGGAGAGGGACGCCUUGAAGGGCACACGGAAGCCAGCAGUGCUGGUGAAGAUUGCCCCUGACCUCACGGCCCAGGACAAGGAGGACAUUGCCAGCGUGGCGAGAGAGCUGGGCAUCGAUGGACUGAUUGUCACAAACACCACAGUGAGUCGCCCUGUUGGUCUCCAGGGUGCUCUGCGCUCUGAGACAGGAGGACUGAGUGGGAAGCCACUCCGAGAUCUGUCGACUCAGACCAUCCGGGAGAUGUACGCCCUUACCCAAGGCAGGAUUCCCAUUAUCGGGGUUGGUGGUGUGAGCAGCGGACAGGACGCCUUGGAGAAGAUCCAGGCAGGGGCCUCCCUGGUGCAGCUCUACACAGCCCUCAUCUUCCUGGGACCACCAGUCGUGGUCAGGGUCAAGCGUGAACUAGAGGCCCUUCUAAAGGCUGGAGGGAAACGCUGAUGGCAGGGUGGGAAGAUUUCUGUGCUGCACCUUUGACCAAGGACCAACAGUGCCAAGAGAAUUCAGAAUGAGUCUGAGGCAGUGCUGGUUACCAGGAAAGGCCUGUCACUUUCUCAGGCCUCUGGGAUGGAGGAGUCCUAGCAGAAGGAAGCAGAGAGCGGGGUUUUACCACAGUCACGGAUGCCAUUGGAGCAGAUCAUCGGAGGUGACCAUACGUGCCAGAAGUCCCAUCCAGAUUGUGCCUUCCAACUCAGAGCCCCAGUGGACACCGUCAUCCAUGCUUCUGCUUGGGAGUUAAGAGGAGCUGGUGCUGAGAGCUGUCAAUGGCUGUCAGCCCUGGUGUGUUUCACACUUGGAGAAAGUCAGCUGGCUCACCCAGUGAUUUCCCUGAUGAUCUUCUGAGGUGGGUUCUGUGGCCAAUACUUUUGUCCAGUUGCCCAUGAAGACCUGAACAGGAGAACAUGCCAUCCACAUAGGAAAGUGGGAGGUGGACAUGGUGUGUAGCAGUUUGGGGGUCUAAUCCAGAGAGCUCGGCAGGUCACUGGUGGUACCAUUCUGGGCCUCAUGACGGGACUGUUAAGUGUGAGCUCUUUGGGCUCUGCUCUUAGUGGAGAGGGUGGUCAGCCAGAGGCUCUGCUGGAAGUGGACCUUGCCCUCUAGCUCUUGGUAAGAGAAGGCUGAAAUCUUCACACCUGCUGUGGCAUCUCCACUUUAUGAUUAUUGGAACUGGCUAUGGGCCAGAUGCAAAUUCCCAGACCUAACGGGUACAUCAAAGGGCUCACCCCAGCUGGGCUGGGAGGUCCCCAGCUGACUCAGUGUGUCACUGAGGUGGGGGGGAGUGGGGAUGAACUGGCCUGGGAAGAGUUACUUCAGGUCACUGUGGCUCAGGGCUCUGUCAGGACUGCUUUAUUAAAGGAACCUGAGCCAUCUUUAAAAGAUGCCCACAACAUGCCAGGCUAAUAUUGUGUUCUUAUCAGCUAUGGGCAUCUGCAUAGUUUGUGUGCCUCAGUUUCCAAAUGUGUAAAAAGGGGGUAAGAACUGUACCGGUCUCGGACGGACUUUUGUGGAGUCCUUAGUACAUCACUUGUUACAUCCCAAACUAAGAAACGUUAGCUGCUGUUUCUAAUAUUACUCAUCAUAAAAGUCUUGGGUGCCAGGGGAAGAGGGGACAAGGCUUUUGAGGGACUAAAUAACUCCAGAAGAGUCCAGGCCCCAAGUUAAAAUCUUGAUCUUUGGAACCUGGGUUAAGAAAUCAGAUAGGAGUCAUGUUGUUUGUGGUACUCCUAGAGCUGGGGGAGCAGAAACAACAGGUCACUGGGACUCUGACCAUCUAGCCUAGCCUACUUGGAGAUUUCCAAGCCAGUGUGAGACCCUGCCUAGGAGUAAAAAACGCAGAUAGUGCCUGAGGAACAAUUCAAGUUGUCCUCUGGCCUCCACACAUUCGAACAUGCACACACAUGCAGACUAGAGAGAUGGACUUCAACUGAAUCUUAGUACUCAAAACUUUUUUUUUUUUUUUUUUUUGAGUACUUGGGAUCAACCCUAGGGCUUUGAGAAUGCUAGGCACAUGAUCAGCUACUGAGUUACAACCCUGGUUCUACCACUACUUAAAAAACAAUCAAACCAAAGGUACUUCAUGUGAUUGGGUGGAUGGUGCUGGCCUCCAGCAGGAAGUACAGAUUUCUUCAAACCAAAGGUACUUCCUCACCUGACUGGGGAGAUGGUGCUGGCCUCCAGCAGGAGGUACAGGCGAUUUCUUUAAAGUCUGCUGGUAGUGUCUUCCCAGUACUGUGUCUGGCUUCUCCAGAGUGGCAGUUUACAAGAGAACAGACCAAAGUUUUGGGUACCUUUUGUGACUCAGGCUUAGAAGUUUACUAAGCCAUAUUCACUGCGAGGUUAACCGUUUUAGCUCUAAAUAACAGGAUGCUUAUUCAAAUAUGAAGGAAGACAUACUUUUAGCGUAGGUCUGUGAUACUAUGAGCAGAGUGUACAGUAAAGUUCAUGGCUCUUUAUCGGAAAUUCUCGUUGACCUGGGCAUCUCAUAGUCUACCUGGCAAUUGUAGUUAAAAACAAGCCACUUAAUCUAACCCGCCAUUCAAGGGAGGGGAAUUAGUUGCCAUAUGCACACGGGUUCUUGUAUAGCCACGGCUGCCUUGACACUUUUUAUGUAGCCCAGGCUGGCACUGAAGUUACAAUCCUACCUGUACCUGAAGGGCUGAGGUUACAGGCACGUGCCACCGCACCCAUUUCUAAUGUCCGCCUCACAGAAGAAAGUCCCAGUCUAGACUUGGGAAUUCUGUCUUUUCUUGUGUGUGUUUGCUCUGCCAAUCUUUUUUUUUUUUUUUUUUUCCUUUUUUUUGGAGCUGGGGACCGAACCCAGGGCCUUGCGCUUGCUAGGCAAGCGCUCUACCACUGAGCUAAAUCCCCAACCCCUUCUGCCAAUCUUUUUUAACCUGUUUAUAUACUGUAUUUUGAUUUAUUUCUAAGCUCUUAAGAAUGUGAACUAUUUAAGAAUAAGUCUAUAUUCCUAGGUGGCCAUUAAUCCACAAGUACAUCUAAGGAAAUGAGCAUCCUCCAGUGUGCAAGCAUAUUCAAGUGUUGCCUUCUGGCCCUGUGCUCCUUCCCCAGCUCUCAAGUCCCCUCUAGUCCAGGUUAGUAAUCCCCGAAGGGAGGAUUGAAGACUCAGUUCCCAAUCUCUGACCUAUCCGAGUUUAGUCAUAUGACCCCUCUAUCCCUUUGAAGGCACUGGGUGGUCUUUCUGGGCAGUCUCCUGCUAAAACCUUAGUGUGUGGUGGUUGGAGCUCUGGCACCUACUUUAGUCCUGGCAUCAGGGUCACCCUGGAGAGAUGACAGUGGCAGGGGCAGAAAGAGCUUCACGGAAUGGUUGGUAGGAGCUCUGUCUACUCCUUCACCUCCAGUGCUGCACAGUGAACCGCUUUCUUUCAUAUGCAGUCAAACUUAACCCCAGUUAGUAAGGAGAGGGGUUGAAGUCUCAUAACCGUGGAUUGGCCUGAAAGAGAUGUUAUUUGCUUUCCGCUAGGAGGUGCUUCACGGUCCUUCUAGGUACAGAUCUUGGUCAGUGCACCAGAGAAUUCAGUGGGAGCCAAGGGACUGCUGACUGCCUACUUUGGCUUCUUUUGUGUUGAGUGGGUCUUGGCAAUCAGGUGACAUUCCUGUAAGAACCACAUGGCUAGAUAGGUGGGGAAUAAAGUCAGUGGACCCGGUCACCAGGAGCUGUGACUGGGAGGUGUCUGUGCAGGAGCCUAGUGGGAAUGACCUGACCUGGCACCUAGCUGGGCUGUAGAAGGCCGGGAAAUGACACACAAAAGCAACCUUUCAGCAGGGUUGGGAGGGACCUGGGAUGUGGGCGUGGAAAAUCUCAGCUGGAGAGUACCUUACAGGAAAUUAAAAAGGGGACAGAGGGCUGAGUGGCUGUCCCACCGUGGUCCUGUCAACCUGUUGGCUUGGGUCCAGGAGCAAAACUGUUCAAAGGAUCAGAACUGGCUCCUCUUGCCCCAGACAGAGUCAUCGGGCAGUGCCCUGGCGGGCAAUUUCAGUUACUCUGGAUGUGGAGUCUGGUUUUUGUUAUUGCUUUUAUUUCUUCUUCUUUCUCCCCUCCUCCUCCUCCUCUGCUUUUUGGUUUUUCAAAUACAGGGUUUCUCUGAGUAGCCCUAGCUGUUCUGGAUCUUGCUCUGUAGACCAGGAUAGCCUCAAACUCACAGAGAUCUACCUGCCAAGUGCUGGGAUUUAAAGGUGUAUGCCAUCACCACCCCAAAACGAACCUUUCUUUUCUCUUUCUUUUAUUUUAUUUUAUUUUUGAGACGGGAUCUCAUUAUGUAGGCUCAGGUGGCCUGAAACUAUGUAGACCAGACUGGUCUCGAACUUAUAGAGGUCUGCCUGCCUCUGCCUUCCUUUAGUCUGAUUCUUAGCAGUCUGGUAUUCCUGAGUCUUAGAACCCCAAAUAUAUCAGACUGGUGAGAUCAGAAUUUCAAUUUUAUGUGUCUAACCAUUAAAAAUAAACACAAACGUGUCCAUGAAUGGA